CGUAGGGUGCGAGCGUUAAUCGGAAUUACUGGGCGUAAAGCGUGCGCAGGCGGUUUUGUAAGACAGGCGUGAAAUCCCCGGGCUCAACCUGGGAACUGCGUUUGUGACUGCAAGGCUAGAGUAUGGCAGAGGGGGGUGGAAUUCCACGUGUAGCAGUGAAAUGCGUAGAGAUGUGGAGGAACACCGAUGGCGAAGGCAGCCCCCUGGGCCAAUACUGACGCUCAUGCACGAAAGCGUGGGUAGCAAACAGGAUUAGAUACCCUGGUAGUCCACGCCCUAAACGAUAUCAACUAGGUGUUGGGUGGGUAAAACCAUUUAGUACCGGAGCUAACGCGUGAAGUUGACCGCCUGGGGAGUACGGCCGCAAGGUUA
rnacentral:rRNA from 1 species